ACGCUAGCUACAGGCUUAACACAUGCAAGUCGAGGGGCAGCAUGGUCUUAGCUUGCUAAGGCCGAUGGCGACCGGCGCACGGGUGAGUAACACGUAUCCAACCUGCCGUCUACUCUUGGACAGCCUUCUGAAAGGAAGAUUAAUACAAGAUGGCAUCAUGAGUCCACAUGUUCACAUGAUUAAAGGUAUUCCGGUAGACGAUGGGGAUGCGUUCCAUUAGAUAGUAGGCGGGGUAACGGCCCACCUAGUCUUCGAUGGAUAGGGGUUCUGAGAGGAAGGUCCCCCACAUUGGAACUGAGACACGGUCCAAACUCCUACGGGAGGCAGCAGUGAGGAAUAUUGGUCAAUGGGCGAGAGCCUGAACCAGCCAAGUAGCGUGAAGGAUGACUGCCCUAUGGGUUGUAAACUUCUUUUAUAAAGGAAUAAAGUCGGGUAUGCAUACCCGUUUGCAUGUACUUUAUGAAUAAGGAUCGGCUAACUCCGUGCCAACAGCCGCGGUAAUACGGAGGAUCCGAGCGUUAUCCGGAUUUAUUGGGUUUAAAGGGAGCGUAGAUGGAUGUUUAAGUCAGUUGUGAAAGUUUGCGGCUCAACCGUAAAAUUGCAGUUGAUACUGGAUAUCUUGAGUGCAGUUGAGGCAGGCGGAAUUCGUGGUGUAGCGGUGAAAUGCUUAGAUAUCACGAAGAACUCCGAUUGCGAAGGCAGCCUGCUAAGCUGCAACUGACAUUGAGGCUCGAAAGUGUGGGUAUCAAACAGGAUUAGAUACCCUGGUAGUCCACACGGUAAACGAUGAAUACUCGCUGUUUGCGAUAUACUGCAAGCGGCCAAGCGAAAGCGUUAAGUAUUCCACCUGGGGAGUACGCCGGCAACGGUGAAACUCAAAGGAAUUGACGGGGGCCCGCACAAGCGGAGGAACAUGUGGUUUAAUUCGAUGAUACGCGAGGAACCUUACCCGGGCUUAAAUUGCAGAUGAAUUACGGUGAAAGCCGUAAGCCGCAAGGCAUCUGUGAAGGUGCUGCAUGGUUGUCGUCAGCUCGUGCCGUGAGGUGUCGGCUUAAGUGCCAUAACGAGCGCAACCCUUGUUGUCAGUUACUAACAGGUUCUGCUGAGGACUCUGACAAGACUGCCAUCGUAAGAUGUGAGGAAGGUGGGGAUGACGUCAAAUCAGCACGGCCCUUACGUCCGGGGCUACACACGUGUUACAAUGGGGGGUACAGAGGGCCGCUACCACGCGAGUGGAUGCCAAUCCCAAAAACCUCUCUCAGUUCGGACUGGAGUCUGCAACCCGACUCCACGAAGCUGGAUUCGCUAGUAAUCGCGCAUCAGCCACGGCGCGGUGAAUACGUUCCCGGGCCUUGUACACACCGCCCGUCAAGCCAUGGGAGCCGGGGGUACCUGAAGUGCGUAACCGCGAGGAGCGCCCUAGGGUAAAACUGGUGACUG
rnacentral:rRNA from 1 species